rnacentral:rRNA from 1 species
AACGAACGCUGGCGGCAGGCUUAACACAUGCAAGUCGAGCGCCCCGCAAGGGGAGCGGCAGACGGGUGAGUAACGCGUGGGAACGUACCCUUUGCUACGGAAUAGCUCCGGGAAACUGGAAUUAAUACCGUAUGUGCCCUACGGGGGAAAGAUUUAUCGGCAAAGGAUCGGCCCGCGUUGGAUUGGCUAGUUGGUGGGGUAAUGGCCUACCAAGGCGACGAUCCAUAGCUGGUCUGAGAGGAUGAUCAGCCACAUUGGGACUGAGACACGGCCCAAACUCCUACGGGAGGCAGCAGUGGGGAAUAUUGGACAAUGGGCGCAAGCCUGAUCCAGCCAUGCCGCGUGAGUGAUGAGGGCCUUAGGGUUGUAAAGCUCUUUCACCGGAGAAGAUAAUGACGGUAUCCGGAGAAGAAGCCCCGGCUAACUUCGUGCCAGCCGCCGCGGUAAGAC